rnacentral:rRNA from 1 species
GACGAACGCUGGCGGCGUGCCUAAUACAUGCAAGUUGAGCGCUGAAGGUUGGUACUUGUACCAACUGGAUGAGCAGCGAACGGGUGAGUAACGCGUGGAGAAUCUGCCUUUGAGCGGGGGACAACAUUUGGAAACGAAUGCUAAUACCGCAUAAAAACUUUAAACACAAGUUUUAAGUUUGAAAGAUGCAAUUGCAUCACUCAAAGAUGAUCCCGCGUUGUAUUAGCUAGUUGGUGAGGUAAAGGCUCACCAAGGCGAUGAUACAUAGCCGACCUGAGAGGGUGAUCGGCCACAUUGGGACUGAGACACGGCCCAAACUCCUACGGGAGGCAGCAGUAGGGAAUCUUCGGCAAUGGACGAAAGUCUGACCGAGCAACGCCGCGUGAGCGAAGAAGGUUUUCGGAUCGUAAAACUCUGUUGGUAGAGAAGAACGUUGGUGAGAGUGGAAAGCUCAUCAAGUGACGGUAACUACCCAGAAAGGGACGGCUAACUACGUG